rnacentral:rRNA from 1 species
GGCAGCCGCGGUAAUUCCAGCUCCGAUAGCGUAUAUUAAAGUUGUUGCAGUUAAAAAGCUCGGAGUUGAAUUUCGGGGUCUGUCCGUCGGUCGGGCUUUACGGUCCGUACUGGUGUGAUGGGUUCCUACCUUCUGAAUAACCGGCAUGCCAUUCAGUUGGUGCGCCGGGGAAGCAGAGCUAUUACCUUGAAAAAAUUAGAGUGCUUAAAGCAGGCUAGUGCUUGAAUAGAUUAGCAUGGAAUAAUAAAAUAGGACGGCAUGGUUCUAUUUUGUUGGUUUCUAGGAUCACCGUAAUGAUUAAUAGGGAUAGUUGGGGGCAUUAGUAUUCAAUUGUCAGAGGUGAAAUUCUUGGAUUUAUUGAAGACGAACUUCUGCGAAAGCAUUUGCCAAGGAUGUUUUCAUUAAUCAAGAACGAAAGUUAGGGGAUCGAAGACGAUCAGAUACCGUCGUAGUCUUAACCAUAAACUAUGCCGACUAGGGAUCGGACGAUGUUAAUUUAAUGACUCG